CCCUUAGAUGUUCUGGGCUGCACGCGCGCUACACUGAAGCGUUCAACGAGUAUUCACCUUGCCCGGGAGGGUUGGGUAAUCUUUUGAAAACGCUUCGUGAUGGGGAUAGAUUAUUGCAAUUAUUAAUCUUCAACGAGGAAUGCCUAGUAAGCGUGAUUCAUCAAAUCGCGUUGAUUACGUCCCUGCCCUUUGUACACACCGCCCGUCGCUCCUACCGAUUGAAUGUGUUGGUGAGGAGCUCGGAUUGGCAGCAGUUGGUGGUUCGCCACCGGCUAUUGCUGAGAAGUCCUCCAAACCGCCCCAUUUAGAGGAAGGAGAAGUCGUAACA
rnacentral:rRNA from 1 species